rnacentral:rRNA from 1 species
UAGGGAAUCUUCGGCAAUGGGGGCAACCCUGACCGAGCAACGCCGCGUGAGUGAAGAAGGUUUUCGGAUCGUAAAGCUCUGUUGUAAGUCAAGAACGAGUGUGAGAGUGGAAAGUUCACACUGUGACGGUAGCUUACCAGAAAGGGACGGCUAACUACGUGCCAGCAGCCGCGGUAAUACGUAGGUCCCGAGCGUUGUCCGGAUUUAUUGGGCGUAAAGCGAGCGCAGGCGGUUAGAUAAGUCUGAAGUUAAAGGCUGUGGCUUAACCAUAGUAUGCUUUGGAAACUGUUUAACUUGAGUGCAGAAGGGGAGAGUGGAAUUCCAUGUGUAGCGGUGAAAUGCGUAGAUAUAUGGAGGAACACCGGUGGCGAAAGCGGCUCUCUGGUCUGUAACUGACGCUGAGGCUCGAAAGCGUGGGGAGCAAACAGGAUUAGAUACCCUGGUAGUCCACGCCGUAAACGAUGAGUGCUAGGUGUUAGGCCCUUUCCGGGGCUUAGUGCCGCAGCUAACGCAUUAAGCACUCCGCCUGGGGAGUACGACCGCAAGGUUG